rnacentral:rRNA from 1 species
GACGAACGCUGGCGGCGUGCCUAAUACAUGCAAGUUGAGCGCUGAAGGUUGGUACUUGUACCAACUGGAUGAGCAGCGAACGGGUGAGUAACGCGUGGGGAAUCUGCCUUUGAGCGGGGGACAACAUUUGGAAACGAAUGCUAAUACCGCAUAUAAACUUUAAACACAAGUUUUAAGUUUGAAAGAUGCAAUUGCAUCACUCAAAGAUGAUCCCGCGUUGUAUUAGCUAGUUGGUGAGGUAAAGGCUCACCAAGGCGAUGAUACAUAGCCGACCUGAGAGGGUGAUCGGCCACAUUGGGACUGAGACACGGCCCAAACGCCUACGGGAGGCAGCAGUAGGGAAUCUUCGGCAAUGGACGAAAGUCUGACCGAGCAACGCCGCGUGAGUGAAGAAGGGUUUCGGAUCGUAAAACUCUGUUGGUAGAGAAGAACGUUGGUGAGAGUGGAAAGCUCAUCAAGUGACGGUAACUACCCAGAAAGGGACGGCUAACUACGUG